rnacentral:rRNA from 1 species
GACGAACGCUGGCGGCGUGCCUAAUACAUGCAAGUAGAACGCUGAAGAGAGGAGCUUGCUCUUCUUGGAUGAGUUGCGAACGGGUGAGUAACGCGUAGGUAACCUGCCUUGUAGCGGGGGAUAACUAUUGGAAACGAUAGCUAAUACCGCAUAACAAUGGAUGACACAUGUCAUUUAUUUGAAAGGGGCAAUUGCUCCACUACAAGAUGGACCUGCGUUGUAUUAGCUAGUAGGUGAGGUAACGGCUCACCUAGGCGACGAUACAUAGCCGACCUGAGAGGGUGAUCGGCCACACUGGGACUGAGACACGGCCCAGACUCCUACGGGAGGCAGCAGUAGGGAAUCUUCGGCAAUGGGGGCAACCCUGACCGAGCAACGCCGCGUGAGUGAAGAAGGUUUUCGGAUCGUAAAGCUCUGUUGUAAGUCAAGAACGAGUGUGAGAGUGGAAAGUUCACACUGUGACGGUAGCUUACCAGAAAGGGACGGCUAACUACGUGCCAGCAGCCGCGGUAAUACGUAGGUCCCGAGCGUUGUCCGGAUUUAUUGGGCGUAAAGCGAGCGCAGGCGGUUUGAUAAGUCUGAAGUUAAAGGCUGUGGCUCAACCAUAGUUCGCUUUGGAAACUGUCAAACUUGAGUGCAGAAGGGGAGAGUGGAAUUCCAUGUGUAGCGGUGAAAUGCGUAGAUAUAUGGAGGAACACCGGUGGCGAAAGCGGCUCUCUGGUCUGUAACUGACGCUGAGGCUCGAAAGCGUGGGGAGCGAACAGGAUUAGAUACCCUGGUAGUCCACGCCGUAAACGAUGAGUGCUAGGUGUUGGAUCCUUUCCGGGAUUCAGUGCCGCAGCUAACGCAUUAAGCACUCCGCCUGGGGAGUACGACCGCAAGGUUGAAACUCAAAGGAAUUGACGGGGGCCCGCACAAGCGGUGGAGCAUGUGGUUUAAUUCGAAGCAACGCGAAGAACCUUACCAGGUCUUGACAUCCCGAUGCUAUUUCUAGAGAUAGAAAGUUACUUCGGUACAUCGGUGACAGGUGGUGCAUGGUUGUCGUCAGCUCGUGUCGUGAGAUGUUGGGUUAAGUCCCGCAACGAGCGCAACCCCUAUUGUUAGUUGCCAUCAUUCAGUUGGGCACUCUAGCGAGACUGCCGGUAAUAAACCGGAGGAAGGUGGGGAUGACGUCAAAUCAUCAUGCCCCUUAUGACCUGGGCUACACACGUACUACAAUGGUUGGUACAACGAGUUGCGAGUCGGUGACGGCAAGCUAAUCUCUUAAAGCCAAUCUCAGUUCGGAUUGUAGGCUGCAACUCGCCUACAUGAAGUCGGAAUCGCUAGUAAUCGCGGAUCAGCACGCCGCGGUGAAUACGUUCCCGGGCCU